UUCUUUAGUCAGUCAGUCUGUCCAAAGGAAAAGUUUUAGGACUUUGGGCCACUGUAAAAGAAUGUGAGUGCUCUUGAGGAGAAGUUUAAUCAGUUAUAAUCAUAACCCUGAAUAGUUGCCUGUCCACAAAGUCCAUAGCAUUGAUUUUCAAAUUACCCAAUAAGAAGCCAAUUACUUUAUCUCCCUUGAGUAAGACAGCAAUCAAAGACCAAGAGGAGUUAAAGGAUUCAGGGCACUGAUGCUCUCUAUUCCUUGUGGCUACACUCCCCCAAAGCACCCAAAACAUAAGUUUCUAUCUUGAACUUACCCAAAGUUCAAUACAACUCAGCACAUGCUUUCUCCUCCUCUUAAGUUGGGACACACUGACCACAGAUUAUGCCCUAGGUUACACAAUUCUAAUUCUAAGAACACUCAUCUUCCACAUAGCACUUUACCUGGGCUGUGGCAAAACCCAGACCACCUUCCCGAAAACACCAUAGCAAGUAUGUUUGGAUGCUUUGUCUUCAGAGUCACCUAUUCUCAGAGUUGGAGGAAAUUUCAGCUCUCUUCUACUUGAUCCAGGAUACAAAAUGUAAAUGCCCUUCACAACCUCUUCUUGGAAGCCCUUUGAUAGAGAGAGAACUCAUUGUCACUGAGGCAGCACCUUCAAUUUUGGAAGAGUUCUCCUUGAUAAGAAGUUCCAUUUGAAAUCUGCUUCUCUGUUAAUUUUGAGUUCUGACUGCUAAUCCUGUCCUCUGUAGCCACAGAGAACAAGUCUGUUCUCUAUUCUAUUCAAAACUCUAUAAGAUAUUUGAGGAAAUGCAGUAUGUCCUUCCUGCAUCUACUUACCAGAGCAAAUACUUCCUGUUGCUUAGAUUGAUCUUGCUUGUUUCUAAUCUGCUUACCAUCCCCUGUUCUUCUAGUGGUCAGUGUUUUGUUUAACAUGUCUUUAGAAUUGGUCAAAAUAUCUCACAUUGCGUGUUAACAGGGCAGUAUCCAGAAUAAUGAUUCCACUCUCAGCCCCUUCAUCUAUAUAUGUUAAUAUAUCACAAUGUUACACCACGAGCUUUCUGUUGACUAAAACCUCCAGGGCUAUUUCCUAUGAACUUUCCUUGGAACACAUACUGUUGGUGUUCUUUCUGGAAUUUCAGGUUCUCUUUAAUUUGUUUCCAAUGUCCAGAGGGUAGAUUCUACCUUGAAUUCUCAUUGGCCAAUGGAGUGUCAUCUCUUGAGAUUCAACAGCAUAUAUGACAGCAGAGGAGUGCUAACACUGCCAACAUCCUUUGUGAGCUGAAUCUGACCAGAUUUCUGUGCUGACCAAUAUCACUGAAUUUAAAAUGAUGGGACCCCUGGUCUUUGCCAUCUUCUUGCUACUGUUUUCAGGGACCAUAAUGUCCCCAAAAUCAAGAAAAUGGUGUGAUUCUCUGGAAUACGAGGACUUUGCUUUUUCAGAUCCCAAAACUGGGAACUCUGAAUUCUCAACCAAAGUCAUCUUCAACAAAGGAUUAGUCUACAUAUAUAAGAACUACUAUCAGAGGGCAAAACCUCAAUUAGGAUGGGAAAAUGUGGAGAACUGGGAUGAGGUGAGCCAGCUUCAAAAAGAGAGACAAGAUUUGAUGAUGAAAGACUUUCAAGAAUUCAUAAACUCAAAAGAAGAUAAUGAAAGUUUCUACGUCUUUAGUCAAUAUUUUGGCUGUUCACUUUGUCCAAAUCGCACUUUCAAUAUAGCUGGGUAUUGGCAGUUUGAUGGAAUUGAUAUCCUGGGUUCCUAUAUGAUUAUAAAGUACCAGUUCGCAAAAGAUAUUGAAGCUAAAAUGAACCAAGACCCAGGUUCUGUAACUCUACCCAAAGAAUAUCUGGAGAAACAGUGUUUUGCAACACUCCAAAAAUACCGGAAUUAUAGGAAUGCUUACUAGGACAAACCAGGUAAUCUGUCUACUUCCUGUUGUUAUACUUAACAUUAUUGGGUAACUGUCAGGGCUGGGGACACCUUGCACACUAGAUGGCCUAAAAUUGACUCAUAUUUUAAAGCCUGAAGAUUUCCUCCCUCUCAAAAUUCUACUAAUCUUGGCAAAAUGGGGCUUGAAAAUAUGAAUUCAGACAACUCUAUAGGUCUCUUGGAAUUGAGAUAACAAUCCCUAGCAACUGAGGGCUACUGAGCAUUGUGAGAGACACAGGAAAACAUAGAGGCUUAGAUGGGAAGAAUGAUUAAAGAUAGAAAAGUAACCUCCCAUUACAAGCCUCAGCCUUUCUUGUUUCUCUCCAUUCAUCAUAUAUCAGCUUUUCAAUAGGCACCCUGUCCCACUUCUUAAUCACCUCUUAUGUAGCUUCUGAUGGGAAUUCCACAGGAAAUCAAACCAUGCCAUUGACCCAUUCCCCAAAGUCAUUCCUCUCUGUGAGCUUAGAGGCAGCUAAAUGGUACCCUGGAUAGAGUUCUGGGCCUGGAGUCAGGAAGAUUUGAAGCUGAGUCAGGUCUCAUUCAGUUAGAGCUGAUGUGACCCUUGGGAAGCUACUAUUUGCUUCAGUGUAAUGGGGAUAAGGAUAGCAGCUGCCUCCCUAAAUUGGUGUGAGGAAUAAAUCGGAUAACAUUCAUAAGCGCUGAGCAUCUAGCAGGUCAUUAACAAUCACUUGUUCCUUUACAUUUUUGAUUCAUGUUGUUUCUCAUAUCUGCAAUGAGCUUCCGUCAUCAUUCUACUUAUCUGAUGCUUUCCUACUCUUUAAGACUUGUUUCAAAUGCCACCAGAACUCUCCCUUUUCUAAAGUUUCCUCCCAUGUUAUGGUCAUUUUUACUUCAUUUAGAAACAUCCUUCUGAAUGUUUUCCUGAGUAUAAAAGCAGGUACCAUGUCUUCCCUUUUCUUGUAGCCUCUCAGUAAACAGGAGUGUUGAUACUAGAAGAGGCUGAACAAUUAUUUGCUUUUUUAAUUGAAAAUUUCCUAUGUAAGGGGGAAAGGCAGGCGAUUUGGUGUAGAGGAGAAGAAAAUAUUGUGGAGUAAUCUCUGUUGGGAAGCUACAACUUAUUGGAAAUAAUCAAUUUGAGUAUAUACUAUACAGAAACUGAUUUGGGAUAAUAUGUGAAAGUAAAGGAAGAAUAGUGGGAAGGACAGAGUCCAGAGGAAGUUGGUGGUGGAAGCAAUGUUGGAGUUGAAGGUGAGAAGCUAGGACAUGCUGGGAGAACUGUGAGAGCUACAGAUAACUGCUCAGAGGAGGAGAGGCAAGAAGAGAAAAAAGUCAUAGUAUAAUAUAAUAAAUGAACCACUUGGGUAAAGUGUAUGUUUCAACAGGUGGCCAAGAGUGAGGAGACCUUAGCGAUGAUGUUCCCUUAAAGUCAACUUUGAGGAAAAAGAGCAGUUGUGCAGGUUUUCCCCUCCAUGACUAUUUCCCUCCACUAUACUGUUACUUACUAUUGUAAAAAUGGAGACUUGAACCCAGGACUCCAGUUCCCAGAAGUCCUUGCUCACAUACCAGAAUGCUUUGUAAUCGCACUGAAUUCUCACCUGGGUGAUAUCACAAUUUAUUAUUUAAAGGAAUUCUCUGCCUACUGAAGGGCUCUUUUUCCUACUUCUGCUUUGGGGCACACACACCUCUCCACCUAGCAGGCAAGAUGUGAGUGGUCGUUAAUAGGCUCUCUGGGCCUAGAUACAUGCUUUUCUUAUUUGUAUUUUCUUAAAUUCCUUAUCUUAAAUAAAACUCUAAAAAUAUAAUAUUCCGUGUAGAGAGAAACUAAUUUCUAACUGCCUCAGUUUUCCCCCCAAAUUUUAAUCUUUACAGUUAUGACGACCACUAGAUUGGAUGAGAACUUCUCAAAUUUUUUAGCCUAGAAUUUUUUUAAGCCAUGUUUCUCCAAGACGCUUUUUAAGAAAACUCUGCUUCUGUCUUUCUUGAGCCCUUCCCUCCUGCCUGGCUGGGCUUGGCACAGUUGCUUUCCUGCCUCUGCUCCAGACCGGAUUACUGUUUUACCCAGAUUGCAGCUCACCUGCCCACUCCAUCUGCCCACUCCUGCUCCAGCUGCUGCUCCUGGUCUUUCUCUUGCUCACCCAGUCCCUGUUUAACCAGAUCGAGAUCAUCUGGUGACCUGUCUGCCCAAUAAACUCUAGCCUUGGAGAAGAUCACUCAUCACCCAGGACUCAUUUCUACUAGUUGGUAAAAAACGGGGGUAUUGGCAGAGGAUCAUAGGAGGGGAGAGAGAAAAGGGAGAAAAGAAGAAAGACUUUCUGAACAGGAAUUUAAAAGCAUGGCUAUUUUACAAGGAUAUCUUUUAAUUGCAUUGAUCCUUUUAUUGACUCCACCUGUGGGUCAGAAAAAAAAAAUUCAGCUCUCUACAACCCUUUAGAGAACUUUGGGGAGGCAGCUGGGUAUGUCAGCGAACUGAGAGCCAGGCCUAGUGACAGGAGGUCCUGGGUUGGAAUCUGGCCUCAGACAGUUGCUGGAGGUGUGGCCCUGAGCAGGUCAUUUAAUCCCCAUUGCUUAACUGAUUUCCUGCUUUCUGACAAUAGGCAUCUAAAUGGAUAAAAAUCCAAGGAAUGUUAAAGAGACUGGAGGUUAUAUUUUUAAGGCAUUUCAGACUCCAAUGUUUUAUAAAAAUCUCUGUAUUUCUAUUGCAUAUUACUGUUUGCUUUGUUUAUGGAUUUAACUUUGAUUUUAAGUUCAUAUAUUAUUGCACUCAAGAUUAUUCUGUUACACUGAAUCAUUUUAAUGUACUGAGUUUUAACUACUGUUAAAUUCUGUUGCUUUUCCCCUAUAACCAUAUUGAACAAAUAUCAUUGUAAUUAAUUCCAUAUAUGAAAACAGCCUUUCUAUUUUUGCCUUUGUAAAUUGUCACUUAGAGGAUGGAUGGACUUCAUCAGAGCUGGUUACAAUUGUAUAACAACCUUUGGAAAAAUUUAAUGUGCUAAAUAUCUCAACUGAUUUUAAGGGUUUUCUGGACAUGAUUUUUAGAAUUUUUUCUUAACAAUCUCUGGUCAUUUUUGCCUGCCCCUAACAGGAGGUGUAAGGCCCAUUCUAGUAGCUGAUGUGAAAUACAAUUAUAACUCCCAACCUUCCUGAAUUUCUAAAUAUGUGAAUGGAAUUUGGGGCAGUCAAUCUCAGGGCAUUUGUAUCCCUAAAAAGCCUCCAAAAAAGGAGUACCCCUCAUUUAUACUAUUCAGCUCACUACUUUACUUCCAUCAGAAUGAUCUGUAGAUUUCUUGAUGAUGUUCUAAACCCAACAUAAGUUACACUUUGUUUAAAAAUAUGUUUAUUACCAAGGUUGAAAGAUUUGCUAUGUCUGUAAUAACUUGUGACAAGUAUUCAUUUAAAAAAAUGCCAUACAGCAACUUAUGUGAAAUAUGAUAUGAUAUGUGUUUGUUUGCUAUUGUAAUUAAUUGGGCUAUUGAGAAUUUUGGGGGUACUGAUAACUACAUAUUUGUACUACUGUUCUUUAAAAAUGAAAAAUGUUACCUUGUUCAAUUCAUUUGCUCAAACUCACAGUGGAUCAUGGCCAGAUAUGAAGAGGAAAUGGAUCUCAUUUUUUGUGAAAGCCUUUUAUUCUAUAUUUUCCUAGCUGACACAGUGUAUCAAUGAUUAUAAACUCCAUUUUUGAAUUUUUAAAACUCUUAUUAUAUUUUUCUUACAUGUGUAAUAUAUUAUUUCAGUUUUUUUAUUUUUUCCCUCCUUUUUAUAUUUGAAGCACAUGUCACCAGUAUUAAGAUUUUCUUUAACUUUUUUAUUUUUCAGUAAUAUAAGUUUAAAAUACAUUUGCUAAUGCAUGCCCCUAAAGCUUGAGACUAUAAAAAAGAUGCCACUAAUUAUUUAAAAAAAUAUGGGACUUUGAUUAAUAAUUCUGUCUGAUUCCAGGACAAUAUAUAUGUAUGCAAAAGAGCCAUUGCAUAGGGCCAAAGAAAAGCCAAUCCAGGAUGGAUUGAUGCACUUCUAAGCCAAUACAAAGGUCUUGAACCUAGUGUGAAGACUUGAGGUUACUGUGUUUAACAUUGGUAUGACAUAGGCUUUCCUUUUUCCUGAGUGUGUCCACACUCACUCUGAAAAUACAGACAAGUGUCCCCAAACUUGGCUCCUACUUGGCUUCUAUAAUCUGGUUCUUUUUUCUGUCUUUCAUAGUGUGGUAACUUUCUGUAGUCCUGACUACUGACUGGGUAAAUGAAUCAUUGCUUCGAUCAUUUUAAUUGGGCCCUGAUUCAAGGACCUGUUAUAGAUUUAUUUUUUUUUUACUUAGAAUUUUUAGACAUAAGACUUUGAUAGUCUGUAUUUUCAUCCAGAAAAUUUUCUUUUUUAUUUGGAUUUUUCUGAUAUCUUUUUAAUUUCUCUUACCAAUUGAUUCAUAUACCUCAUACCUCAGCCAUGCAUCCCUAAGUGAUCCUGUGUUUUUUUUUAAUCACCCAUAACAUGGGGAAAUGUAAAAAAAUAUUAUUAUUAUUUAAAUUGCAAAGUUUAAACUCCUUUUGAAAAGAAUUUUAGGAAAAGAAAGAUGCUACCUCUCUUAAUCCAGAAACUGAACUGUUGGAGAAGACACCAUGAAGAAGUCUCCAGACCAGAAGCUGUACAAGAAUGUAGUUGAUUGAACAUUUAUUUGUAUGUAUACUUUCAUUACAAAGGGGACUGCCCCCUAACUGGCUUUUUGUCAAUGUGUCCAUCAAUUAUUGGUUCUGUCCUUUUUUUUUCUCUUAUCCUCAAAUUAUUGUAAUCUUUAAGUUGAUUAUGUUUUCAUGAUCCUUUUGGGGAAAAAUGUUCUUUUUUUUCCAAAAAUUAUCAUACGGUGAAAUGUAAAAAUGGAGACUUGAACCUAGAACUUGAGUCCCCAGAAGUCCUUGCUCACUUCCCAGAAUGCUUUGUAAUUAAGCUGAAUUCUCACCUGGGCAAGAUCACAAAUUAUUAUUUAAAGGAGUUCUCCAUCUACUGAAGGGCUCUUUUUCCUACUUCUGCUUUGGGGCACACACACCUCUCCACCUAGCAGGCAAGAUGUGAGUGGUCGUGAAUAGGCUCUCUGGGCCUAAACACGUGCUUUUCUUAUUUGUAUUUUCUUAAAUUCCUUAUCUUAAAUAAAACUCUAAAAAUAUAAUACUCCUUGCAGAGAGAAACUAAUUUCUACCUGCCUCAGUUUCCCCCCAAAUUUUAAUCUUUACACUGUUCUCUGUCAUUGGAUUUCCACUCAAGAGGACUAUACAGAUCCUGAUCCUUUCUAGGGAGGGCGUAUGAUAUGAGAUAAACAACACUAAGAUGAAUCAAGUAUAUAUCAUAAAAUGAAAUAAAAGUCAUAUAAAACUGUGCUUUGGUGUGUGUGUG